CAGCAGCUGUAGCUUAAAAAGAAUAACAUUUGGCACCUGGACGUGGAAAGGCUCUCUCCUUGUACUUUCUCCGGAGGCCCACUGGCAGGCAUGAGGUAAGGCAAGGGACCCUAACACACGGAUGGACAACCCACACUCAAUCUCACCGGUUUGCUGGGACUCUACAUCCAACACCGGACCCUAUUUGGUCUAAGAGGCGCCAGGGAGUUGCAUACAGCCUGGACUACAAUGAAACAACCAGCUUCCCCAGGACGUGGCAGCACCCCAACCUUCUCGGGUCCCCCAAAGAUGGUCAACGCCCCCCAUGUCAGCAGGAAGCAGUCUUAAGAAGUCGACGCCCUUAUUCCUUAACCUGCCAUGUCUAAACACCCACCUUUUUUUAAUAAUAAGUAGAGGUGGGAAUGAAAGGUUCAGGCAUUAUGCUGGCCUGCCCCUGUUAUCUGGUGGAAUCCACUCAGGCAAUACCCUGGUCAGCCCAAGGUUCCAUGGGAAAGAAGUCUGUACGCAGGUGCAGAGGACCCCUUUAAAAGAUAGGCCCCUGCCCUCUCUCUCUCUCUCUCCCCCUGUUCCUGCUCUCUGUCCCCUCUCUCUGUUUCCCGCUCUGUCUCUCUAUGGCGACCGGCCAUGGCGGUCAGCCAUUACCCUGUUACUCUUCUUAGUCUACCCAUUCUGCCAGUCCUUAUAAUAAACUUAUAGUCAAUAUGUCUGUCUCAAUAUUUCUCUUUUCUUCUUUUUAAACAAAAGAAUAACAAACAUGGGGUUAGCUCGUUAAAUUGCAAUAAAGCCUCAUGCAGUUUGCA
rnacentral:lncRNA from 1 species